ensembl:lncRNA
GUUAAGAGACCAGUAAUUGUAGAGAAACUCCCUCAUAAUGGUGAGCAACGCAUGAUCCAACAUUAUCCAAGCAUUUAGAGAGCCUCUUGACGUGUCUCUGGAACAUGUUGUAAAGUGCAUUUUCCUGAUUUAUUUAAUAAAAGCAAUUCUUGCUCAUUAUUCCUCUUAUUAUCAUUGGUAAUAAUAAUAACAGGGUGUUUGAACAUGUUACUUUAGCUCUGGGAUUGGCCAGAAGGGAGGCUUAUAUCCUAUUUUAUUACUCAUCUAAUAGUUGAGACCUGUGAACCAAGUGGGGUGUGCACGGGAUGGAGAAGAGACACUGCCUUAAGGGCUGUGGGAAGGAUGGUUAGUACCACAGGUGUAUCUGUGGCAGGAGAACUCCUCCCAUCCUUGUUAUUCCUCAAUAAUAGGAUGCUGAGAAGAUGCUGGUCCUGUCAGUGUGUCAGACCAUGUCUGAAGGAUGUCAAACAUCACAAGUGGAAAUGCUCCAAAACUGAGAUCUCAAGGUAUCCUGAUUCUUCACCUCAUCCAAGUGCUCCUGACUCUCCGAGAGCAUGCUCAAUCUAGCACCACAGAAGAUUUGGUAUUCUCAGAAUCCUGGCUGAUACUGGGGAAAGCGGCUGUUUGAACAUGGCGAGAAGGACUAUGGUGACUGUGGCCCACAGCAGAGACCUGAAUUCAUGCUACAGUAACAGCACAAAGGACGUGAGAAGCUACAGGAAAACAAUGACAGGAAUCUUUGGCUGGCAGCACCCUGACCUAUCAACAACAUUCUUAGGGUUGUUCCUUCUCACAGCUGGGUCUCUCUACUCUGCCUGUCUCUGUCUUGCUGUCCUACUCUCUGCCCCAGCAUCAGCCCCAGAAGAUACAAAGGAAGAGCAAGGUGUACACAAGGUGAAAAAGCCUUGAGAGGGCAUGAGUGUCCAAGACAGACUUGCUAGUCAUUCAAGACACUAUUUCUCCCAGAGCCCACCCUGGUCUGAGAAUCUGCCUCACACAAGGCUCAGGUAGCUGUUACUAUUUCAUUGAAGUAAGUAUGAAAGAUAAAAACUAUUUGCUAUCUGUGGUUGACUUGGGCAUUCGCACUGACCAUAUCUCCCCUUUACUCUCAACUGUAUCAGUAUUCUUAUUAAUUUCCUGGCAAGGAAAGGGAGGAGGCCAAAGGCAAGCAGAGAAUGUCCAGCCUGAGAGACUAUGAGAAUGAUGAGGUCAUUGCAAAUGAGGGGAUAGGAGAGGGAGUUGUUCUGAGGAAGGUGCUCAAUGGGAGGCAGGUCAUAUUUGAGGUUUUUAAAACAUCUACAUGGAAAUAUCAGAAGGUAUGAAAACACAAGACUGGAUUUAGAAGAAACUUCUGGGUUGAAGACAAAGAUUUGGUCACACCAGUGGCAGACACUGUUUAUUAUCCAACAAUCAUUUCCCCCGUCUUAGCUAACUGUGCCGUACUUUUGUUCACAUGUAGAGUGGUCAUUUUCCAGAGGAUAUUAGACCCCAACCCAGCCUCAGACCCUAGUACUGUGGGUGAAUCUUGAUUAGCCCAAAAUAGUCACAGAUAACUCCUUUCCUCUUACCAUUGUUUGAACUUGGGUAUGUCAUACAUUUCUCAAUAAUAAAAAAUGUCUGCUAAGAGGAUUCUAAACA